rnacentral:rRNA from 1 species
AUCCAGUUACCAUAGGGAUAACAGCGUAAUAAUUUUUUAAAGCUCUUAUAUAAAUAAUAGUUUACGACCUCGAUGUUGAAUUAAUAACCUAAUUUUAGCAAAAAAAAAUAAAGGAAGUCUGUUCGACUUUUAAAAAAUUACAUGAUUUGAGUUCAGACCGGUAUAAGCCAGGUCGGUUUCUAUCUUCUUAUAACUUCUUACAGUACGAAAGGGCCUAAGAAAAUAAUUAUAUUAAAUAAUUUAAUUGGCAGAAAAUUGCAUUAGAAUUAGAAUCUAAUAAAACUUCAAUCUCAUUUAUAUUAUCUUUCUUAGUUAUUACUUUAAGA